UACGUAGGGGGCAAGCGUUGUCCGGAAUCAUUGGGCGUAAAGCGCGUGUAGGCGGUCCGGUAAGUCGGCUGUGAAAGUCCAGGGCUCAACCCUGGGAUGCCGGUCGAUACUGCCGGACUAGAGUUCGGAAGAGGCGAGUGGAAUUCCCGGUGUAGCGGUGAAAUGCGCAGAUAUCGGGAGGAACACCUAUGGCGAAGGCAGCUCGCUGGGACGUUACUGACGCUGGAGACGCGAAAGCGUGGGGGAGCAAACAGG
rnacentral:rRNA from 1 species